GGGGCCGUAGCGCAGAGGUCGUCGCGCCGGUACAGCAUGCCUGGAGGACGCCGGUUCGAAUCCGGUCGGCUCCG
rnacentral:tRNA from 1 species